UACGAAGGGGGCUAGCGUUGUUCGGAAUCACUGGGCGUAAAGCGCACGUAGGCGGAUCUUUAAGUCAGGGGUGAAAUCCCGAGGCUCAACCUCGGAACUGCCUUUGAUACUGGGGAUCUCGAGUCCGGGAGAGGUGAGUGGAACUGCGAGUGUAGAGGUGAAAUUCGUAGAUAUUCGCAAGAACACCAGUGGCGAAGGCGGCUCACUGGCCCGGAACUGACGCUGAGGUGCGAAAAGCGUGGGGAGCAAACAGGG
rnacentral:rRNA from 1 species